CCUACGGGCGGCUGCAGUGGGGAAUAUUGCACAAUGGGCGCAAGCCUGAUGCAGCCAUGCCGCGUGUGUGAAGAAGGCCUUCGGGUUGUAAAGCACUUUCAGCGGGGAGGAAGGCGUUAAGGUUAAUAACCUUGGCGAUUGACGUUACCCGCAGAAGAAGCACCGGCUAACUCCGUGCCAGCAGCCGCGGUAAUACGGAGGGUGCAAGCGUUAAUCGGAAUUACUGGGCGUAAAGCGCACGCAGGCGGUCUGUCAAGUCGGAUGUGGAAUCCCCGGGCUCAACCUGGGAACUGCAUUCGAAACUGGCAGGCUAGAGUCUUGUAGAGGGGGGUAGAAUUCCAGGUGUAGCGGUGAAAUGCGUAGAGAUGUGGAGGAACACCAGUGGCGAAGGCGACUUUCUGGUCUGUAACUGACGCUGAGGCGCGAAAGCGUGGGGAGCAAACAGGAUUAGAUACCCGGGUAGUC
rnacentral:rRNA from 1 species